UUGUUGCUCUGAUGAAAUAUAACGGAUGUACUACAAAACAUCAGAAGUUUACCUGGUCUCCUUUGCAACUAGAGUACUCAUGCAGGGUGGUUUAGCUGGGGACUGAGGGGAAGUGGUUCACACAGGGUUGGACUAAAGUCUUUGGUUUCCUUCUUCCUUGUGGUCCAGGUGAGGUAGCAAAGGCCAUUCCUCCUCCAUUGUGCUGUGUUCAAGAAAACUGCAGAGUAAAGAAAGAACAAGGAUCAUCAAUCAGGACUUCUGGGACUUUCAUUUUUAACCAGAGUUGAAAACACAGGGGCUUGGAGACCUUUCUGGUAACCCUUUAAACUGAAGUCAAAGGGUUCAAAAAGAAAAGCUCAACACUGGACAAGUAAAAUUCUUUGACUAAGAUGCAGAAAAUAUUGCUGUAAACCCAACAGUACAAGCUGAGAGUGAUGUCUUCUGGCUUUCAAGUUUUAAAACCUGUAUGCCCUUGAUCCUACUCCUUCCUCCACUAUUCACCUCCUUGGAAAUCUGAGAGACAUUCAUGUCCCAGGAGUGACCAGCUUGAAGAGAGCUGAAACCCAGCCCCGUUGCACAGCUGGCUCCCAAGGAUCUAUCUUGGCACCCAGCUAACUUCUCUACCUUGGAGGAUCAGGUGAAAGAAAAACACCAGAUGGGAAGAAAAGUGGAGAGAAUGAUUGAGCCUGGAACCUCAGCAUGGCAUUAUCCACAUGGGCUGUUUUAUCAGUAUGCCUUUUUGUAACCCCAGAUAAGGGAAAACUGUAGCCAGAAAAAGAUGAAAACAGGGAAAUUCAACCAUUGCAGGCAUUUAUUCUUAUCUUUUGUUUUUAUAAAGAAUGACAAAUAAUCUGAGCGUAUAAAAAUCAUUGCUUUGCAUGAAACCCAAAUUUACAGUUUGUGUAU
rnacentral:lncRNA from 1 species